rnacentral:rRNA from 1 species
UUUAAUGAGAGUUUGAUCCUGGCUCAGGACGAACGCUGGCGGCGUGCCUAAUACAUGCAAGUAGAACGCUGAGGUUUGGUGUUUACACUAGACUGAUGAGUUGCGAACGGGUGAGUAACGCGUAGGUAACCUGCCUCAUAGCGGGGGAUAACUAUUGGAAACGAUAGCUAAUACCGCAUAAGAGUAAUUAACACAUGUUAGUUAUUUAAAAGGAGCAAUUGCUUCACUGUGAGAUGGACCUGCGUUGUAUUAGCUAGUUGGUGAGGUAAAGGCUCAC